rnacentral:rRNA from 1 species
CCUACGGGUGGCUGCAGUGGGGAAUUUUGGACAAUGGGGGCAACCCUGAUCCAGCCAUGCCGCGUGAGUGAAGAAGGCCUUCGGGUUGUAAAGCUCUUUUGUCUGGGAAGAAAAGGCGUCGGUUAAUACCUGGCGUUCUUGACGGUACCGGAAGAAUAAGCACCGGCUAACUACGUGCCAGCAGCCGCGGUAAUACGUAGGGUGCGAGCGUUAAUCGGAAUUACUGGGGGUAAAGCUUGCGUAGGAUGUUAAAGCCCUGUGCUUAACCUAGGAAUGGCAUUGGAAACUGGCGGGCUAGAGUGCGGCAGAGGGGGGUGGAAUUCCUGGUGUAGCAGUGAAAUGCGUAGAGAUCAGGAGGAACACCGAUGGCGAAGGCAGCCCCCUGGGUUGACACUGACGCUCAGGCACGAAAGCGUGGGGAGCAAACAGGAUUAGAUACCCCAGUAGUC